ensembl:lncRNA
AGAGAUUGUGACUGGAAAUUGGGGGAGGUCGGACUGGAAGUGGGGGGGGCAGACUGUAAGUGGGGGUGAAGACCAGAAGUUGGUGGGGUUAGACCGGAAGUUGGUGGUUCUGAGAGGAAAUUGGAAGGGGUCGGGGUGGAAGUGGGAGGUUCCGACUGGAAAUGGAAAAUUUGGAGCCAAAGUUGGACCGGAACUUGAGAGUUCUGAUUGGAAAUUGGGGGGGUCAGACUGGAAGUGGGGGGGUUCUGACUGGAAAUUGGGGGGCGUUGGACAGGAAGUAGAGGGCUCAGACCGGAACUUGUGGUUUCUGCCUGGAAACCGAGGGUUCAAACUGAAAGUGGGGGGGUUGGACCGGAAGUGGGAGGGUUGGACCGGAAGUGGGGCGCCUGGAUUGGAAUCUGGCAGUUCCGGCUGGAAGUUGGAGGUUCAGGCUGGAAAUCAGGGGGUUCUGACCGGAAAUCGGGGGAUUCUGACUGGGAACUGGGAGCUUCUGACCGGAAGUGGGGGGUUCUGACUGGAAGUGGGGGGGCCCUGAUUGGAAACUGGGGGUUCAGACUGGAAACUGGGGGCGGGGGGGGGCUGGACCGGACGUGAAGGAGUGUUCCGACCGGAAGUUGGUGUUCUGAACCGGAAGUGAGGGCUGGACCGGAAGUUUGGGUUCUGAACAGGAAGUGAGGGCUGGACCGGAAGUGAAUGCGUAUUCUGACCGGAAGUGGGGUCUGAACCGGAAGUUGGUCCCCGCUGACCGGAAGGAGCCUCCAUCACCGCACAGCGCCAUGGAGAGCGGAGAGCAGAGACCCUCCCGUGGCGGUGACACGGAGUUGCCCACCCCACAGCCACCGGGGGCUCCACAGGUGGAGGCGCUGCUGGGACAGAUCCAUGCUCUGCACCGGGGCUGCCAGGCUGGGGCGCAGGAGCUGGCACGGACACAGGAGAGGAGCGAGGAGAUGAGACAGCACCUGGAACAGCUGGAGGAGCGGCAGGCGGAGCUGCAGGCGCUGUGGCAGCAGCAGCAGGAGGUGCUGCGCGUGGCACGGUCACGCUGGCAGGAGGUGGAGGCUGAAGGACAAAGGGAGGACUUCGUGCAGCAGCUGGAGACGCUGAUGGACGAGCACAAGCGGCUGCAGCGCCAGCACGUGAGAGCCCGCCCCACAUCUCACCCCACAGCGCCCCACAUUGCCCCGCAGCGCCUCAUGUGUCACCCCACAGCGUCCAACUUCACCCCACAUGUCACCCCAUGUUACCCCACAGCGCCCCACAGCGCCCCUCAUUGCCCCGCUGCACCCCACGUCACCCCACUGCGCCCGACGUGUCACCCCACGUCACCCCACAGUGCCCCACUGCGCCCCACAUCUCACCCCACUGCGCCCCACUACACCCCACAUCUCACCCCACUGUGCCCCACUGCGCCCCAUGUCACCCCACAGCGCCCCACAGUGCCCCACGUGUCACCUCAUGUCACCCCACAUUGCUCCACAGCGCCCCACAUUUCCCCACGUGUCACCCCACACCAACCCACAUUGCCCCACAGCGCCCCACGUGUCACUCCUUGUCACCCCUUGUCACCCCCCGUGUCCCCACAGUCCCCGGUGGCGCUGGUGGCCGCGCUGUCCCAGCUGCAGCUGACACGGGAUGAGCUGCUGAACCAGGGUGAGCACACAUGGCCCCAAAUGUCCCCAGACAGCCAUGCAAUGUCCCCAAAUGUCCCCAAAUAUUCAUAUAAUGUCUCCAAAUGUUCCCAGAUAUCCAUGCAAUGUCCCCAAAUGUCCCCAAAUGUCCCCAGAUAUCCAUGCAAUAUCCCCCCAAUGUCCCCAAAUA